CAACCUGAGUAAAGUGGCGUACGGGUGAGUAACACGUGGAUCAUCUACCUUUUAGUGGGGAAUACCCCCGGGAAACUGGGGACAAUACCGCAUAAGCUCGUGAGAGGAAAGCAGCAAUGCGCUGAAAGAGGAGUCCGCGGCCUAUCAGCUAGUUGGUGAGGUAACGGCUCACCAAGGCUAUGACGGGUAGCUGGUCUGAGAGGACGACCAGCCACACGGGAACUGAGACACGGUCCCGACUCCUACGGGAGGCAGCAGUGGGGAAUUUUGGACAAUGGGGGCAACCCUGAUCCAGCAAUGCCGCGUGUGUGAAGAAGGCCUUCGGGUUGUAAAG
rnacentral:rRNA from 1 species